ACAUGUUUUUCAUGUCAACAAUUACUCAAACACUUCUUUAUCAUAAAUAUAUACACAUCUAUAGAAGUAAUUAAAAUAUUUCCUCAUUACACAAGCCUAUUAAUAUUCUACUCGGUACGCUAAUUCCGCUAAUUGGCCGAAAUAGCGAAAUAACUCGCUAUAACUGAACCUGGCUCGAUAAUCGCAAGAACUGCGAAGUCGACGAGAGUUUCGUGACUCACGCAAUUUAUCGAGCACCGUAAUGAGCAUCACACUAGUACAUUAAUUUAUUUAACGAUCGAACCAUUCUAAACGAUUUAUCAGCUUACCGUUUCCACAGCUGACACGAAUCCGCGAGAUCGGUAGUGAUUUUCCGAUCCAAGUAAUUUGUCGAGCGUUUGGAAAAUAUCGCGCUGCUAGCUUCGUCUUGGGAUUUCUUGAUGACACGCGGAACGACGAUGAGAUCAUGUUUGGAGCAAGCUGGUGAGGUGUGGUCGAGCAGGUUAGCGCGAGCUCUAGGAAGGACACAAAGCUAGUGAGGGCUCUGGCGACGGCGAGGUCACGAGCUCUAGUGAGAGCUCGGACACUGAAUCCGGUGAGGGAAAGGGCGACGCGAGCUUCGGCCACCGGCAAGCGCAGUAUCAACGACGAUGACCGAGGCGGGGCGGACUGGAGAAGCCGACACUGGGAACGGCGGUCAUGGCGAUGGCUGGCGAGCUGAGAGGAGGUCGGAUUGAGCGCUGCCGGUCGUGGGCGACGCUGGAAGAUGGAGCAGAGGUGGCUGGCCAAGACAGAGAAAAGAAGGAGCAGCGCUGGUGUCGGUACUUGGCAGGAGCAGAAGACCGAAGUGCAGCUUGGAGUGGAGGAUGACGACCGGCCUUGGGAAGAUGAGUGAGCAUGCAGCGUUGCAGGUGGAAGAUGAAGUGAGUAUAAAUACACGGCCGAUGAUCAGCGCAAGAAAAGAUAAGACAGGAAUGCUUGGGAGAUAAAGAUUGGAGGGAGAAAAAUCUAGGUGGGAGGAGACGUACGGUGAAGAAAUAUCAGGGAUGAAGAGCGGCAAUAGGGAUAGAGAUCGGCUGAGAAAAAAAAUCGGCUGGGCAUCGCUGGGCUUGCGUCCUUGCGAUAAGAACACAUGAAGAUUUUUACGUAAAGGAGCCGGCCUGUUGAGAUGAGACCAAUGGGUAGCUUCAGCAGGGCGGUGACGACUUGGAUGAGUAGAGGCAGUAAGCGGUGGAGAAAAAUCUGAGAAGGAGAUAUUUUCCUUUAAUAAAUGAAAUUUCAGAAAUCCAUGUUUCGAUAUUAGAAUUUAGUUUGAACGAGACCAAAUGAGUCAAUUUAAAUCAUUUUUGAUUACCAUAUUAUUUUCUCAGAUAUUUAAAUAGAAAAACGAACCUGCUAACAAUUGCUCUAGUUUUGGCUAGUUCAGAUUCAUUUUAUUUAAAGAGCCUGCCUUUAGUAGUGUCUACCGAAUUCAUAGAGACCGCUCAAACAAGAGAGAAAUAAUUAGGUGAUCUUUCCAAUUAGCCUUAAUUGAUUAAUUUUAAACUGGCACUAGGCUCGACCUUUAGAAAGAAAUAAAUUUUAAAUCGUGCGAGCCGAAUGGGGCAUCGCAAUUGGAAUUCCCCGGAGACGAUGUCAGCAUCGUCACGGGAGCGAGAUGGAGACGGGUUCAAACCGGAAGAGAUUAGAUUCGAUAUUUUAGUCGACGUUCGAUUUAGUUGAAUUUAGAUGAAUUUCGUUCGCUACUCGAACACUCGACUAGGGAACAAUUCAAUUGAAUUCCGUAGACGCGAUGUCACGGAUAACAAAAAGGGGAUUCAAUUAUUUUGCACUGAAAACUUAGCCGUCGAGUUCUGCAUAAUCUGUUUGAGAUGAAAUCGGAGGACUGGACUGAGUUUCCAAAUGCGUAUUCGUGCGAGCGAUGAAUUUUAAAUAAUCACCGGACGCACCGAUUUUCGAAAUAACGAUGUUCCGAAUAUCACGAAAAUUUCGGAAGAGCCCAGACAGAUAAAAAUGAUGUCGAACUUGCGACAGACGAAACAGAUGCAAUAUUAAAAUCGCAAUAAGCGAAGAUGAUUAAAAUUUAGCAUCCAUUUUAUCCACUGAUAUUACGUGCUUAAAUCCAUACUUGUUGUCGAGCGGAAUAUAAACACCUGGGGUGUUACAGCCCUCCCCCCUUAAAAGAAUCUCGUCCCGAGAUUCGGAGCGAAAGACUUCUAAGGGUAGAGAAGCAUGUAACCCACGUCCAUAUCAGCGGUAAUCAUAAGACAGUUCUGAGCGAAGGCAAGUGUCUCAGGAUGUGGUUUCUCUAGUGGACAUAACAUGUAUCGCCUUAGGCUAAUUUAGAAAUGCCCACCAAUAGAGACAAUGUCUGCCAGAGAGACACAUAAGGUUCCAUGUGUGCAGUUUGCUUUUUCUGAUGACACUGUACUAUCUGAGUCUAUUGGGCGAGUGGCAAAUACGCGAUCUUACCCAAACAGAAUCAGAUACAACCUCUUGGGUAAAACACACAGAAAGAGGUUUACCAACAAGGGGUCACAGUAAGUUCAUAGCACACGAGACGGGUGUGAAUGUCGAAUGCAUCACAGUUAACUCGUGUUGGCCAGAGAAUCCAAGUCCAAAACAAUGAUAGAGACUCGAGAAAAUAUCAAUGAAGAGAUCCGUUGACGUUGACUUCGCAACCAAUCCAUUUUAUCAAGCACUAGGCAUGGCUUGACUUGAUCACACAUGCUGGGAAAACACACGUGAGGCGAUCGAGGCAUGACUAAAGCGAUAAUUAGGUGGUUAUUAGUCGACUUUAACUUGAUCUUUGUAAGAACUUUCUUAUGAUGGGUUGAACCAAAGUGAGUUUAGACAACUCGACAAAACAAUCUUUAAACUCAACCUUUGUUCAUUGGGCAGUUAUAAGUUAGUAAAACCAACUUGUUGAACUACUUUUGACAUUGAGUAGGUCCUCUCAGUACCAUUGGUAAGCCAAGGGUUGAGAGUUCACAUGUGCUAGCAAAAGGUCAUGCAUUUGGGUAAAAAUCCAUUUGGUCAUGUUGUUCAUCCGUUUCUUCAUGCGAGAUGAAUUGACUUGGUCCAGGAAUACAUGGAUUAAAUAAGAGAGCAAAUGAACAAACUUUUGCAUCUCAGCAGCAAGGGGAAACAUAUCUCCAUUUUGAGAGCUAAUCAGUUGUUUCUCAACACUAAAAAGCUCCAAGGCUUCACCUUUACACAAAGGAUGUAAAGGAAGCUUGUAUGGGUAGUCACUACCAAGAUCAAAAGGAAAGAGACUACACAUGAAAGUGGUAUAUCCGUUUGAUCCAACAGAGAUGAUAGAUGCUGCUUGAUCACUUGACAAACAACAUAGAAAUUGUUUCAAGGGAGGACUCCACGAAAGAUCACACAUCAAUGCAGUUCCACAAUGGAUCAUGACCAGAGACCUUGAUACCAGCAUCGAGGAGUAGCACAAUCCUGUGUGCGCAUUCACAGGAGGCUCUCAGUUUCGCUGCGGCACCAUAAGUCAUUAACCAUGACACCACUAUCGAACUGGCACCAAUAACGAAUCUCACGUAGCAAAAAUAGAUUGUGCUAAGAUAACACAUUGAUGUAGUCUCAUAAUGGAUUAUGACUACUAACUGUGAUACCAGCGCGGGCCAAGUAGCGCAACCAUGUGUGUACAUUCACAGGAGGCCCUCGGUUUCGUCGUGGCAUCAUCGGCUUUAGUCAUAACACCAUUACCAGACAUAACCAAUAAGAAAUCUCGCACAACACAAUUAGACUGGGCAAGGGUAAUAAUAUACAAAGAGAUACUCCACCUGUAUGAAUAGCUAAAGGUAGAGAGCCAAAUAGAUCAUGGCCCGAGGAAAUGAACAAGGUAUGGCCAUAACCUAAACUUGAUGAGAGAAGUACAAUGGGAGACUGUUACUUCAGCCCCAAGCAUAUUUCUAUGCCAUCGCAAAAAUUACAAGUCAAGGAUUAAGUUGGUAUGCCUUCGAUAGAUAUGAGAAAAUCAAAGGCACCAAAUUCAAGAAAAUAAUCAAACAUGCCUUUCCUAGGUUAGGUUGAUAAAGCAACAUGGCGAUCCUUAAGGGCAGGCAAACUGGAUAAGGUACAUCAGCUUGUACCAAUUGUCAAGGGCAUGGUCUAAGAUGGAAAUAUGAGUCGAGAUUCUUAUUUUAAGCUUGGGUAUACUUUAUGUCCAACAAAGAAAUUAUCUAAACAUUUAUUUGUAUGGGCUUGGUCAUGGAGUAAUAAUGGAAAAUUCAAAUUUGGGUCGUGGUGCACUAAGUAAGAACAGGGCCUAGUUUUGGGUUUAGGCAAACAGGUCACCAACAUUCUAUCGGCACAUCAAGUACAAGGGCAAACACAUAUAACACCUAAAUAGAUUACCUAAAGAACGGAGGACAGCUAUUUUCUCGAAGUUCAUAAUACAAUAUUACACCACAUUAUUUACAAUCAAUGGUUACUGGGAUAAGGAUGAGAGAAGCAUUUUGGGUGUAUAGGUGACAAACAGGAUGCAACAAUCAAGAUGCAUGCUCGUCCUAUACGUCCUCACUGAUUUUGCCAACAUAAUGUGGCAAUAACGUUCUAUAUCGGUGGCAUAUGUUCUCUCUCGGUAUUUUGCUAGUCGUCAGCUACACAUACGUUUUCGAGGUUAGUGUACCUGCAGAAAAUCCAUCAUAGCCCAAUUUCCAAUGAUGCAGUUCACACAUGACAAUUUAUCACAGUUUAUACUCCAUAUAUUGCUAUAUGGAGGCCAGCUCAUCAUUAAGCGCCGAGCCACGCAUAGGCGUCGUUGCCACACUUAACCAUAGGGCAACUCAUUAUGGUAACUCACCUUCUUACCUGAGCGUAGGUGCGUCGUUACAAGUACAAUACACUUCUUAGUAUUUCCCAUGUCUGUAUACCCAUACACAUGUAUGCAAUACCCACCUGGUUAUGGGUUAUGGUUUUCAACUAAGCCACCUGAUAGUCCUUAAUUUAGGGCUUAAUAGAGGAUGUCGCUAGCAUUAUUUUUUUUUUCAAAGCUGUUUUUCAAAGCCAAACAAUGUGUUUAGUUGAAAAUAGGUUUUUCAAAACCAAAACUUUUGUUUUGAAAAUACAUAUGUGACCGUAUAUACUUAAUCCAGCUCCGAUACCAGAUGUGGCAGAACCUCCCAAGUUAUUGGGUCCACAUGCCCCUGUCCUUGUCUUAAAGACCUCAGACUGCUAUGCAUGUACACCAGAUAACUUAACAGGAUCCGUCCGAUUGCCCCAAGGACAUCGGAUAAACCACUUACAACCAGAACCGCGGGAUUAAGUAACACAAAUCACACACACCAAUAUUUUGCAGCGGAAAUCUUAUUACCAAAUUUUACAAGUUACGAAAAUUUUUCUUCGUACAUGAUCGGAGUGAUUACUACAGUGUUCAAAGAAAGAAACUUUGAAUUGUUAUAAAUUAUUUAUAGUUUUGAAAUAUAUGCUAGCUCAAGUGACCAUCCUCAAUAAGAAGUAUAGAAGAGUUACUUAGACUUAUAAGAAGGCCGAGCCCACCGGCACUUAACACCAUCAACAACAGCACAAAGUUAAAACCUGAAAAACAACAGGGAAUAAAACCCUGAGUAUGGAAUUACUCAGCAAGACUUACCCGACUAAAGAAAAGACUCUCAAGGGUAUGCUGGAUUUGGGAAUCAAGGAGAGGCUUUAGCAAGAAUCAACUUAGAUACUUUUGCAGAAAUAGCUUACUAAAGUGAGUCCUUACUUUCAAUAUUUUAAUGCCAGAUUAAGUAUUAAUAGACUAUGUUUGCAUAUGGUCUACUUUCACCAUCUCAUCAAUACAACAUCAUUUUUAUUCAUAAUGUUCACAUCCUGACUUAGGUUGCAGGGCAGUGACCAAGUCUUCAUAACCGCGAAGGUACGACGAUCCGAAUCGAUUAUACUCAGCUGAGGAUCUCCAAUCACACGACAUAUGUAGCACUUAACCCUUGCAUAUGUCAACCCGCCACCGGGGUUCUUAAGACCAGAUCAGGUUCACGCGAACCGAGAGCACAGAUACACCACCGUCCAGCCUCUUGCCACGGAGGGUACACGCUACUCUCGCCACCGCUCCACGCCCAUUCCGUGUUAUCUUAUUCUGGCCUUAGUCUGCCCGAGGCAAGGCUUACCCAUGACGAGGCAUGUGACCAGUUAAAGGGUCCUCGAUCAUCAAGCCUACAUACGCAUCCAAUCCUUAAUCAACCUGGGUAGAACAUCACCUGUUCCUAGCCCAAGUUCCGAUUUAAGUACUUCCAUCCUUAGGAUUGUUUGUGUUCCUUAGGAUGAAAAGAGCAUCACAGGGAACUUUGCAGUAAGAUCCCACCAUUGCUCCCAAUAAAAAUAUUCUUGCAGGCAGAAGCCAUCCUUCCUCAGGAUAACCCCUGAGCUAGGCAUCAACGCAAAAGACAAGCUCUAUCCACAAGAUUUACCUCUAAGCAAGGCUAAGCAAUUUUGUAAAUCAUAUUUUGAUACUUCAUCAGAAGUAUCUAUAAAGGUAUGGAUAUCAAGGAAGGCAAUGCAUCAAAGGGUUCCAAGCAACUCCUAUAAACCUAAUGCACAUUUUACUAGACUUAAAGUGUGCGAAAAUUAUUUGAAAACACAAGGAAGGGUUGCAUGCACCGGGGCUUGCCUGGGUAACACUAGGUUAGUGUUGUUAGGUGACGUCGAUCACUUGACGAUCAUCCUUGGCCAGAUACUUGCUUCGUAUGUCCAUCUCCGGUUCCGUUCAUCAGCGCCAUCUUGUGGUCGACUCAGUUCUGGUUCUCCGCAUCGCGUGGUUAAUUCACGUACCUGAAUGAGAUGCAUUAUGCACAUGAAUGCAUAUAAACAUAAAUAUCGCAAACCUAGAUAGUGCUUGCGAUAGCGAAUUAAACACCUAGCUGUGAGACGUUGAACAAUUUCAUACGGAGACACUAAUUAUCGACGUACAAUUAAGCGCAAUAAUUACGCUUCUCGAACCUAUCGCAAACAUCACGAAACAACAAAUUAUACACAUUAAUCACGAUUAGCCUAAACACAACUUAUCAGUUAAUUAAUUAAAUUCUAAACUUAUCCCUCGUUUUAUAAAUUACACUACAUCGCUCACAAAGAAUUAUUUUAAUUCUAUUUUACUCCUCACAUGUUUUUCAUGUCAACAAUUACUCAAACACUUCUUUAUCAUAAAUAUAUACACAUCUAUAGAAGUAAUUAAAAUAUUUCCUCAUUACACAAGCCUAUUAAUAUUCUACUCGGUACGCUAAUUCCGCUAAUUGGCCGAAAUAGCGAAAUAACUCGCUAUAACUGAACCUGGCUCGAUAAUCGCAAGAACUGCGAAGUCGACGAGAGUUUCGUGACUCACGCAAUUUAUCGAGCACCGUAAUGAGCAUCACACUAGUACAUUAAUUUAUUUAACGAUCGAACCAUUCUAAACGAUUUAUCAGCUUACCGUUUCCACAGCUGACACGAAUCCGCGAGAUCGGUAGUGAUUUUCCGAUCCAAGUAAUUUGUCGAGCGCUUGGAAAAUAUCGCGCUGCUAACUUCGUCUUGGGAUUUCUUGAUGACACGCGGAACGACGAUGAGAUCAUGUUUGGAGCAAGCUGGUGAGGUGUGGUCGAGCAGGUUAGCGCGAGCUCUAGGAAGGACACAAAGCUAGUGAGGGCUCUAGCGACGGCGAGGUCACGAGCUCUAGCGAGAGCUCGGACACUGAAUCCGGUGAGGGAAAGGGCGACGCGAGCUUCGGCCACCGGCAAGCGCAGUAUCAACGACGAUGACCGAGGCGGGGCGGACUGGAGAAGCUGACCCUGGGAACGGCGGUCAUGGCGAUGGCUGGCGAGCUGAGAGGAGGUCGGGUUGAGCGCUGCCGGUCGUGGGCGACGCUGGAAGAUGGAGCAGAUGUGGCUGGCCAAGACAGAGAAAAGAAGGAGCAGCGCUGGUGUCGGUACUUGGCAGGAGCAGAAGACCGAAGUGCAGCUUGG
rnacentral:lncRNA from 1 species